ACAACUUUCAACAAUGGAUCUCUUGGCUCUCGCAUCGAUGAAGAACGCAGCGAAAUGCGAUAAGUAAUGUGAAUUGCAGAAUUCAGUGAAUCAUCGAAUGUUUGAACGCAUCUUGCGCUCCUUGGUAUUCUGGGGAGCAUGCCUGUUUGAGUGUUGUUAAA
rnacentral:rRNA from 1 species